rnacentral:rRNA from 1 species
UGAACGCUGGCGGCAGGCCUAACACAUGCAAGUCGAACGGUAACAGGAAGCAGCUUGCUGCUUCGCUGACGAGUGGCGGACGGGUGAGUAAUGUCUGGGAAACUGCCUGAUGGAGGGGGAUAACUACUGGAAACGGUAGCUAACACCGCAUAACGUCGCAAGACCAAAGAGGGGGACCUUCGGGCCUCUUGCCAUCGGAUGUGCCCAGAUGGAUUAGCUAGUAGGUGGGGUAACGGCUCACCUAGGCGACGAUCCCUAGCUGGUCUGAGAGGAUGACCAGCCACACUGGAACUGAGACACGGUCCAGACUCCUACGGGAGGCAGCAGUGGGGAAUAUUGCACAAUGGGCGCAAGCCUGAUGCAGCCAUGCCGCGUGUAUGAAGAAGGCCUUCGGGUUGUAAAGUACUUUUCAGCGGGGAGGAAGGCGAUAAGGUUAAUAACCUUGUCGAUUGACGUUACCCCGCAGAAGAAGCACCGCUAACUCCGC